AUGACCAGAAUCGUAUGUGUGCAUGGAGUUCCGAGGACCAUCGUAUCAGAUAGAGGAACACAGUUCACUUCAAAGUUUUGGCAUCAGUUGCACCAGACUUUGGGCACCAGGUUAGAGUUCAGUACAGCUUUUCAUCCGCAGACAGAUGGACAGACCGAGAGAGUCAGUCAAAUUCUGGAGGACAUGUUGAGGGCUUGUGCGCUAGAUUAUGGAUCUAGUUGGGAUGAUAAUUUGCCCUACGCAGAGUUCUCAUACAACAACAGUUAUCAAGCCAGUUUAAAGAUGGCACCUUUCGAAGCUUUGUAUGGAAGGAGGUGCAGGACACCGUUGAUGUGGGAUGAAGUUGGAGACCGUCAGUUGGUUGGACCAGAUUUGAUCAAAGAGUCAGAAGAGAAGGUUAAGUUGAUUCGAGAUAGACUGAAGGUAGCUCAGUCCAGGCAGAAGAGUUAUGCAGAUUCAAAACGCAAGGAGGUAGUCUAUGAAAUCGGAGACAGAGCAUAUCUUCGAGUGUCACCUCUGCGAGGAGUUAAACAUUUUGGAGUUAAGGGAAAGUUAGCCUCGAGAUUUGUAGGACCAUACCGAGUUUUGGAACGUAUGGGAGAAGUGGCCUACAAGUUGGAGUUACCCGAAGGACUGUCAGGAGUUCACGAUGUGUUUCACGUUUCCCAGUUAAAGAAGUUCCAUGCAGAGAUGGUCGAUAUUCCUCUGAGUGAUACAGUGCCCCUGGAAGCAAUACAGUUGGAUAGUGAUCUGACCUACGAGGAGAAACCAGUCAAGAUUCUCGAGUUUGCCAGCCGUGUCACAUGCAGCAAGGUUAUCAAGUUUUGCAAAGUUCAGUGGAGCCACCAUACCGAGGAUGAGGCCACCUGGGAACGAGAGGAUGAUCUACGGAAAGACCACCCACACCUAUUUUCUAGCCAACCCGAAUCUCGAGGGCGAGAUUCACCUUAA
rnacentral:rRNA from 1 species